GGGGGGGGCGGGGGGGGGGCCGAGCACAUGCAAGUCGGGGGGCAGCACAGUAAGAGCUUGCUCUUACGGGUGGCGAGUGGCGGACGGGUGAGGAAUACAUCGGAAUCUACUUUUUCGUGGGGGAUAACGUAGGGAAACUUACGCUAAUACCGCAUACGACCUCCGGGUGAAAGCAGGGGAUCUUCGGACCUUGCUCGAUUGAAUGAGUCGCUGUCGGAUUAUCUAGUUGGCGGGGUACAGUCCCACCAAGGCGACGAUCCGUAGCUGGUCUGAGAGGAUGAUCACCCACACUGGAACUGAGACACGGUCCCGACUCCUACGGGAGGCAGCAGUGGGGAAUAUUGGACAAUGGGCGCAAGCCUGAUCCAGCCAUACCGCGUGGGUGAAGAAGGCCUUCGGGUUGUAAAGCCCUUUUGUUGGGAAAGAAAAGCAGCAGGUUAAUACCCCGCUGUUCUGACGGUACCCAAAGAAUAAGCACCGGCUAACUUCGUG
rnacentral:rRNA from 1 species